ACCAAAUGAAAAUUGCAAGCAUCACCGGUCCCCAUACCCACAGGACGCCGAGCAACUGCCAAAUCGCACGGUUCUUCCGUAGAUUCCCUACGGAAGAACCAAACCGCCAGUAUAUCAUGAUCAGCAUCUUGACCUUCUUGGCUGCCGUGGCUUCGGUGACCUCCCUUCCUGCAUAUGUACACACUACCAGUGAAUGCAUGAGGGCUGAAGAUGUGACUGUGUGCGAGGCAGAUUUCAGGCUGUGCAGCGACGCGUUCGCAAAGAACGAGGAAGAGGAAAUCGACGAGGAAAUUCACAGGCUCUGUUUAAACGAAC